rnacentral:rRNA from 1 species
UACGAAGGGGACUAGCGUUGUUCGGAAUUACUGGGCGUAAAGCGCACGUAGGCGGAUUUGUAAGUCAGGGGUGAAAUCCCGGGGCUCAACCUCGGAACUGCCUUUGAUACUGCGAAUCUUGAGUCCGAUAGAGGUGGGUGGAAUUCCUAGUGUAGAGGUGAAAUUCGUAGAUAUUAGGAAGAACACCAGUGGCGAAGGCGGCCCACUGGAUCGGUACUGACGCUGAGGUGCGAAAGCGUGGGGAGCAAACAGG